UGCUCAAGGUUCUGUGCAGCGAAACAGUUAAUGCACCUGGAGAUGCUAGUCAUCCUCUCUCCUCGACGUUUUCCGGGGAAGUACCAUUUAUGGCAAGUCCGCCGGGAACAUCAUCGAGCAGGAGCUUCGGUGAUGCGCAAGAAGCAGCUUGCAGCAGUGCUGCAGUUCGACCACUGCCCACACUUUUUUGGAACCCGGAACUGGACCGAGAACCGAUCACCCCUACCUCACUUCCUAUGCAACUGGAUUUUCCAGACAUGCGGACUUGAUCACACUAGUUAUCCAGCUAAUGCCCUUUCAGUAGUUAAAUUUGAUUAUUUGUAAACUAAGUGUCACAUCUAUUUAUGCAAUUAUGAGUCAUAGAAUCCUCAUUCA